rnacentral:rRNA from 1 species
CGCCUGUUUACCAAAAACAUGUCUUUUUGAUGAAAAUGUAAAGUCUGACCUGCCCACUGAAAAUAUAAAUUAAAGGGCCGCGGUAUUUAUGACCGUGCAAAGGUAGCAUAAUCAUUAGUCUUUUAAUUAAAGACUGGAAUGAAGGGUUUAACGAAAUAAAAGCUGUCUUAAUGUAAAAAAAUUUUGAAGUUAAUAAUUGAGUGAAAAAGCUUAAAUAAUAUUAGAGGACGAGAAGACCCUAUAGAGCUUUAUAUAAAUAUUUAUACGGAAUAUUAAGAAAUUUUAUAUAUUUAUAAUGAUUUAUAUUUUAUUGGGGUGAUAGGAAGAUAAAAUAAACUCUUUUUGGUUAAAAACAUAAAUUUAUGAAUAUUUGAUCCAUGAAUGGUGAUUAUAAGAUUAAGUUACCUUAGGGAUAACAGCGUAAUUUUUUUUGAGAGUUCUUAUCAAUAAAAAAGAUUGCGACCUCGAUGUUGGAUUAAGGAAUAUAAUUAGGUGAAGAAGUUUAAAUUAUAAGUCUGUUCGACUUUUAAAUCCUUACGUGAUCUGAGUUCAGACCGG